rnacentral:rRNA from 1 species
GACGAACGCUGGCGGCGUGCUUAACACAUGCAAGUCGAACGCUGAAGCUUGGUGCUUGCACUGGGUGGAUGAGUGGCGAACGGGUGAGUAAUACGUGAGUAACCUGCCCUUGACUCUGGGAUAAGCCUGGGAAACUGGGUCUAAUACUGGAUAUGACAUGCCACUGCAUGGUGGUGUGUGGAAAGGGUUUUACUGGUUUUGGAUGGGCUCACGGCCUAUCAGCUUGUUGGUGGGGUAAUGGCCUACCAAGGCGACGACGGGUAGCCGGCCUGAGAGGGUGACCGGCCACACUGGGACUGAGACACGGCCCAGACUCCUACGGGAGGCAGCAGUGGGGAAUAUUGCACAAUGGGCGGAAGCCUGAUGCAGCGACGCCGCGUGAGGGAUGACGGCCUUCGGGCUGUAAACCUCUUUCAGCACGGAAGAAGCGAGAGUGACGGUACGUGCAGAAGAAGCGCCGGCUAACUACGUG